rnacentral:rRNA from 1 species
CCUACGGGAGGCUGCAGUGAGGAAUAUUGGUCAAUGGACGAGAGUCUGAACCAGCCAAGUAGCGUGAAGGAUGACUGCCCUAUGGGUUGUAAACUUCUUUUAUCUGGGAAUAAAAUGUUCCACGUGUGGGAUUUUGUAUGUACCAUAUGAAUAAGGAUCGGCUAACUCCGUGCCAGCAGCCGCGGUAAUACGGAGGAUCCGAGCGUUAUCCGGAUUUAUUGGGUUUCAAGGGUGCGUAGGUGGAUUGUUAAGUAAGUUGUGAAAGUUUGCGGCUCAACCGUAAAAUUGCAGUUGAAACUGGCAGUCUUGAGUAGAGUAGAGGUGGGCGGAAUGCGGGGUGUAGCGGUGAAAUGCUUAGAUAUCACGAAGAACUCCGAUUGCGAAGGCAGUUCACUGGACUGCAACUGACACUGAGGCUCGAAAGUGUGGGUAUCAAACAGGAUUAGAUACCUUAGUAGUC